AGCGAACGCUGGCGGCAGGCUUAACACAUGCAAGUCGAGCGGGCCUUUCGGGGUCAGCGGCGGACGGGUGAGUAACGCGUGGGAACGUGCCCUCUGGUUCGGAAUAACUCAGGGAAACUUGAGCUAAUACCGGAUACGCCCUUUUGGGGAAAGGCCUGCUGCCGGAGGAUCGGCCCGCGUCUGAUUAGCUAGUUGGUGAGGUAACGGCUCACCAAGGCGACGAUCAGUAGCUGGUCUGAGAGGAUGAUCAGCCACACUGGGACUGAGACACGGCCCAGACUCCUACGGGAGGCAGCAGUGGGGAAUAUUGGACAAUGGGCGCAAGCCUGAUCCAGCCAUGCCGCGUGAGUGAUGAAGGCCUUAGGGUUGUAAAGCUCUUUUAUCCGGGACGAUAAUGACGGUACCGGAGGAAUAAGCCCCGGCUAACUUCGUG
rnacentral:rRNA from 1 species